AGAGUUUGAUCCUGGCUCAGGAUGAACGCUAGCGACAGGCCUAACACAUGCAAGUCGAGGGGUAACAGAUAUAAAGCUUGCUUUAUAUGCUGACGACCGGCGCACGGGUGAGUAACACGUAUGCAACCUACCUUUUACAGGAGAAUAACCCAGAGAAAUUUGGACUAAUACUCCAUAAUGUUUUUGUAUCGCAUGAUAUGAGAAUUAAAGUUCCGGCGGUAAAAGAUGGGCAUGCGUCCUAUUAGUUAGUUGGUAAGGUAACGGCUUACCAAGGCUAUGAUAGGUAGGGGUUCUGAGAGGAUAAUCCCCCACAUUGGUACUGAGACACGGACCAAACUCCUACGGGAGGCAGCAGUGAGGAAUAUUGGUCAAUGGCCGCAAGGCUGAACCAGCCAUGUCGCGUGAAGGAUGACUGCCCUAUGGGUUGUAAACUUCUUUUGUAUGGGAAGAAAGGUAUCUACGAGUAGAUAUUUGCCGGUACCAUACGAAUAAG
rnacentral:rRNA from 1 species